rnacentral:rRNA from 1 species
AGUGAACGCUGGCGGUAGGCCUAACACAUGCGAGUCGAACGGCAGCACAGUAAGAGCUUGCUCUUACGGGUGGCGAGUGGCGGACGGGUGAGGAAUGCAUCGGAAUCUACUUUUUCGUGGGGGAUAACGUAGGGAAACUUACGCUAAUACCGCAUACGACCUACGGGUGAAAGCAGGGGAUCUUCGGACCUUGCGCGAUUGAAUGAGCCGAUGUCGGAGUUGCUAGUUGGCGGGGUAAAGGCCAACCCAGUGGACGAUCCGUAGCUGGUCUGAGAGGAUGGUCAGCCACACUGGAACGGAGACACGGUCCAGACGCCUAAGGGAGGCAGCAGUGGGGAAUAGUGGACAAUGGGCGCAAGCCUUAUCCAGCCAUACCGCGUGUGUUAAGAAGGCCUUCGGGUUGUAAAGCCCUUUUGUUGGGAAAGAAAAGCAGCAGGUUAAUACCCCGCUGUUCUGACGGUACCCAAAGAAUAAGCACCGGCUAACUUCGUG